ACUUUAUUUGAUUGCAUGGCAGCACUUGUAGUGCCAGUGCGUAAAGUUGGGGUACGACAGGAAGGGUAUACGCGUCUGAGGCCUUUUCAGAGAACCCUUGAUGGAAGUACAGGUCAAACAGUCCGGAGCUUCUGGAUGCAGCCGGCUUCUUUAGAAGAGACUCCCUCACUAUUAUGGGGUUUAGAUCCAAUCUUUUUAGCCUUUGCAAAACUGUACAUUAAAGACAUUCUGGAAUUAAAGGAGUCCCAGCAAGUUCCAGGUAUAUUUUUCUAUAGAGGGCAUCCAAUCAAACAAGUUGACGUGUUAGGAACAGUGGUCUUUGUAAGAGAAAAGGAGAACUUUUACAGUUAUGGAGUGGAUGACAGUACUGGAGUCAUUAGCUGCACAUGCUGGAAGAGCACGGCACCAACAGAAGUCUCUUCUCCAGGGACUUCUGCUCGCCACGUUUCCUCCAGUUCCAAGGAUCUGGAUGUGAUGAUGAGAGAGCUGUACAAAGAGGAAAGUAAGAAAGCCAAGUUGGACAUUGGAGACACCAUCAGGGUUCGAGGCAGCAUCAAGGUGUUUCGGGAUCAAAGAGAGAUCGUGGCCUCUGUUUUCUAUAAAGUGGAGGACCCUAAAUUGGAUAUACAAAUGGCAAGGAUGUUCGAUCUUCCCUACAUGUACAGAAAUGUCUAUGACAAGCCGUUUGCUAUCCCGGAGCAUUUGAAAGAUUCAUCCGCAGGACAAACCGAUCACCAUAUUGUAACACAAUCACAUCUGAUCAUGCUAUUGAGUGAAAAAGUGAAAGUGUUUCUAAUGGAGAACAAAAUACACAAUUUUUACCAACGGGAAUUAGAAAGUGUUGACUCCUUAAUUGCUAUUGCUAGCCGUCCAGUUAGUGAUUUCAAGACCAUAGAGUCCAUGGAAAGUUCUAACUCCAAACAAAUCCGCAGCAUAUUCAAAGAAGCCAUCCAGCUGCUGCUAAAGGAAGGUUACAUUUUCCAAAAGGACCAAAAUCGGGAGGUUUAUCAGGUCACUGAUCAGGAUAAAGAUCUGCACAAACUUACCCUUAACAUCAUUAAAGAAGACUGCAGAAGGCAAAAGCUAUCUCCUAAUGGCAUCAAUGUCCAGAGAAGGUUGCAUGCAUCUCCAAGAGCACGACUGAUGGGCUACGUAUCUGAGUAUCGGAGUUAAAAUGUACUUUCUAGAUGACUGAGUGUGUGGUAACCUGAUGUGGAGGAAGACCUGCAUUGAGGACAUUGGGAGCAACAUCAGAGGGGUUGGUGAGCCACUGGUUGUGGAUCACUGCAUUAAGGCUGCCGUAUCGAUCCAGCUCAUCUUCAAGGCUUCCCCCACUCAGGAAUUCCAUGACAUAAAAGGCGUGCCGCUGGUUACACAGACAAUUGCAAAGUCAAGAGGAGGAAGAAAUGGCACAAGACUUACAACAUAGGGAUAAAAGCAAAGAUGCAAGGUGAGUUUAAAGGCCUGGUGAGAGCGGCACAAAGAGGGGCACAGAGUGGACUGAAAAAGAGAAAAGACAGGAGGCUUUAAGGUUUCACCUUCAAAGUGCAAGAAUGUGUUUAAUGCCGGGUGUGUAAUGGGGAGCCAGCAACCUCUCUCUCGAGCCGCUCACCCCCUAGGAAGAAGUACAUUGCUCUGCCAUUUACUCUGGGAAACUGCCUUUAUAAGGAUUACCUGGAAAACUAGGAGAACAAGUCAUUCAUUUCCCACUUAAUCGUUGUGAUAUAUAAGCUGCCAUGGAUUCUCUAUACAAAAUACAACCCAUUUAAAUGUCACUUUUUUGAGUGAUGCAAGUGAAAUUGUUUUCCCCUACCUCAGGAAAUGUCAUUUUUUGCACUCGGCAUUAGAGCUCUCGAUGCUACGGUGAGAUCUGAAUAUUGAGAAAUCUGUUAUCAGCCUUAUUUCCAACAGCACGGUGGCAUGCAGGUCACACACAGAACAAUGGGCAACUCUUAAUGGAUGAAUUGGCGCUCCUCUCUUUACCUAACAGGUCAAACCAUACAAGGCUGUAUGUGGGUUUUGCCAGCAAAGAUUCAAUAUUCACCUGCCUGAAUGUCUUGCCAGCUCUGAAAAGGUUUAUCGUCUGUCUGAAUGUGGUCGGAGUGGUAACAGCCCCCUUAUACCCACUCAGCUGAUGUCCUUCUUCUGUAAAAAACUUAACAUUUGUCAUUGUAAGACAUUUAGUAAUCAUUUGCUACAGGGAUGACCAAUAAGAACUGUGAUUGGUUAUUUGAUAGCCCAAUGAUGACUGGCAGACUACUACUCCAAAUCUUGUCUUCAAGUCAGAAAUUCCAAAUGAAAACCUGCAUUGAGGACAUUGGGAGCAACAUCAGAGGGGUUGUUGAACCACUGGUUGUGGAUCACUGCAUUAAGGCCUGAUGGUACCCAGCAGUCUCAUACUCUGGAAGAUGGUAUCCCAGGUGAAGGUGGAGAUGUUGGUGCAAACAGGAGUUGCGGACGAUGAUCCGGCCUUUGUGCAGCGAGAGCUGAUCUUGAAGCCCACAGUAGUGCCAACUGCCCGCUGAUGUUAUUUACCUAUGCUCAAUUGAAAUACCAUGGUGUUAUUAUUGGCUGGCUUACACACAUCCCAAUAUACUCACUUCAGCCAGCUGGAACUUAAGAAUGAAAAGCCCGGAACGCUGUUUCUGUCCCUUGGUGUAGCUUCAUCUUCCUGGGCCCCAAGGAAAGACAGGGGCGGCUCUCCAUUAUGUGGCUGGAAUAAUUUUGCUGGUGGCUGCAUGAAAGGGAAAAAAUAAUUAUAGUGAAUAUGAUACAAAAUCUAUUGUGAACAGUUGGCCAUGUAUUUUAUAAUAUACAAUAAAACCUGCAAUGGAAA